GACUAAGCUGAAUUGAGGGAUUGUAACUAGAAAGAUAUUGAUACACACAAAGCCGAUUCACUUUAAAACAGAAUGACCAGUUUGUAUGUUGUCGCUCUGAUUCAGCAACCUCUCUUUCUCUACCUUUAUUCCAUCAUCUUUCACAGUAACUAGCUCCCCUUUAUCUACACUCUGAGAACCAGUCAGCCUUGCCAACAUGACAAAUGACAUUCCCCCAAGAACAUUAUUCAAGCAUCUCAAAACCACAACGGACGUUUUAAAAACAACUGGAGGAAGAGCUUUGUCUAGCAAGAACUCAAUUCCAUUAAGCGUUUGGUAUCUUAAAUUACUGCUGACACCCAUAUGAGUUGCCCAUGUUCCAGCAUUUAGAAGUGUUGGAGGGGGCUUAUUUGGGGUCUCAAAAUUAGGAUCCAUGUUGUUCCUUAUCUUGAUUAAGCCAUUAGAAAUUGCAGUUCCAACAAGUCCAGCAGCAAAUCCAACUGCAGCAAAGAGAGUUCCUUUGUAGACCAAUGUCCCAACCCUACUGAAUAAACUGUAAGCCCCAGGCUCAAACAUGUGACUUGGUGGGCAACUGGCGAAAAUUGAAGGCAGGGCUCGACUAGAAACAGAUGCUGUUGGUGCCAAUAUAUACAUCAACACAAAAUUCAAAAUGGAACCAACGACAAGUGUGGAAAACACAAAAUCCAAUUCAUUAAGGCCAAAGUUAGGACGUGAUGCCAUGUCUCCUAUGACAGCAGAAGUGACACCAACCAAUUCCUCCAUAAGA
rnacentral:misc_RNA from 1 species